UGGUGUCUACAAAGCUGUACAAACUGUCUAAUGGGAACAGAAUAGAUGCUGUCUAGUCAAGGAUGCCAUCUCAUGCACACUCAGAGGAGAAUGCUUGGACAAAUUUUGAGAAUAUGCUGAAGCCAGAAAAGGAGCUAAAACCUAAGAUGCAUCAAAGAGUGUCCUUUGCCUAUCCAGUGGCAGAAGAACAAAUAAACGAAAUAGAGACUUUCCUUUCUGAAAACAAUGCAAGCAUGUGGAUCUUGAAGUUACAAACUGUGCCUUAUUUGGCGUCUGCUUAAAGCU